rnacentral:rRNA from 1 species
UGGAGAGUUUGAUCCUGGCUCAGAGUGAACGCUGGCGGCAGGCCUAACACAUGCAAGUCGAGCGGUAGCACAGGGAGCUUGCUCCUGGGUGACGAGCGGCGGACGGGUGAGUAAUGUCUGGGAAACUGCCUGAUGGAGGGGGAUAACUACUGGAAACGGUAGCUAAUACCGCAUAACGUCUUCGGACCAAAGAGGGGGACCUUCGGGCCUCUUGCCAUCAGAUGUGCCCAGAUGGGAUUAGCUAGUAGGUGAGGUAAUGGCUCACCUAGGCGACGAUCCCUAGCUGGUCUGAGAGGAUGACCAGCCACACUGGAACUGAGACACGGUCCAGACUCCUACGGGAGGCAGCAGUGGGGAAUAUUGCACAAUGGGCGCAAGCCUGAUGCAGCCAUGCCGCGUGUAUGAAGAAGGCCUUCGGGUUGUAAAGUACUUUCAGCGAGGAGGAAGGCAUUGUGGUUAAUAACCGCAGUGAUUGACGUUACUCGCAGAAGAAGCACCGGCUAACUCCGUGCCAGCAGCCGCGGUA